rnacentral:lncRNA from 1 species
UGAACAUGACAUGACGAACCACUGAGACGUGAUCAGAUCAAUUAAUUUUUUUUUUGUGUGUGUAUAACAAGUUCCUUUGAUUGAUUGGCAUACAUCUCAGGCGCACAUACUGGAACACGGCGGUCUAGCCAACCUCUGGCCUCCGCUUCUUCCUCCCCGACGGUGUUGUGGAACCAACGGUGGGUUCAGCUACCCUCGACCGUGGCCUAACACGCACGGACUGAAGAUAAGUUAUUCUAUCUCUUCCUUAAAGUGAGAUCGUUUGCUUCUCUGAUCCAGUUCUAGUAAUUUGUACAAGGCCUUAGCUUGUUGUCAGGGAGGAACUUUCAUCUCAUUGCUGAAACUUGGGUAAACUGUGGGCAUACAAAAUACAUCUUUGUUUUUGUUGCCUUACAAACAUGGCUGUGAACAAACCGAAUGUUGGCAAACAAUUGUAUAUCCAUUUUCACUUAUUAUGAUAUUUCUGAAAGUGAAAGGGACUAAGGAUAGCACAGAGAGCAGAGAGCACACGGGUUAUGUUGGAAAAAUUGGUCGAAGUUACAAUGCAUUAGCUAGCAUAAAUAUAGCACAACUAGCAUGCCUAGAUGCACACAACGUUGAUGGUAAGGUAUGCUUGACAACUACCUAAUAGGAUCAGAUUAUUCAUUUUGUAAAUGUAAAAAAGAUAGUAUUGUCUUCACAACGUCCACCACUGAAUAUCUCUGUAUUUCUAGACCUUGAUUUGAUAUUAAAAAAACAAUCCAGUUUAUCUUCUCGCUUAUGUCCUGGAAGGUUUCAGGAUCUGUAUCUAUAUUCGUGAUUGCUACUGCAUGUGUUCUGACUCGGCUUGUACCUUCAUUAAAAUGAAGUAAUACUUAAGCUAUGUAUGAGUCUGAUCCGUGCAAGACUUGUUCCUACUGCUGCCACCUUGUAUAAAUAUAUACUGGUUCGUGCAAGACUUGCUCCUACUUCAAAUUUUUAGUCUGAACGUACCUAUAUAUACGUGCAUCAGACUAAAUUUGUAGUCUGAUUCGUGAAGUAGGAGCAACGGUUGUUCCUACUGCUGCCACCAUGUAUAAAUAUAUACUGGUUAAUUUCAUUUAACUAUUUUUUUCUGUCACAAAUAAUAGUACUAUGCUGGUCAAGUGGGGAACGUAUAGAAUCGUCUUGCACAGAAGUAACACGGAUAAUAUAAUCAAUGGGUUUUUGAUAGAAAAGCAUUUCUGUAUAUCCUGAAUGAAUAUAAACGAUGCAUGAUUAUUUCAAGUUGCACUUUCCUAUCUAUUAUCUCAUUGUUUAUCAAGUAUUUUCAUGUUUCAUAGUCCACUACAUUAUAAUGGGUUUAUAUGGCCUCAGCUACUGCUGCUAUAGUACUUGGAGUUCUGUGAUGUGUGUUUCGUCACUUUGUCAUUUGACACACCUUUCUUUGGCUUAAUUUUAAGCAACCUCAUGUUUACUCUUGUUUUAUAGUAGAUACAAUGUUAUUCUCAUUUGUAGGCACUAUAAGAUUUAAGAAUUCUGGACAUGUAAUUCAUUUUUAUAUUUGUUGCAAUUUUCUUAUUUCUACUAUCUAUUCAUAUGUGCAAAUAUCUAAUAUUCUUGUUAAUAUGCUAGGUAAGAUUGGAUACUGUGCUACUUGGUGCUGCCCAUCACAAUCAGCUACGGCAUGAUCGUUGCCAUCAAGAACGUCGAUGGCAAGAGCUUGAAUAACAGCCUCGAUAGUUUAUAUGUUCUGUUGAUGUAAAAUGGAUUGUACUGGUUCAUAACUCUGCUGUGUGAUAUAUUUUGUCAAUCUAUGUUGUAUGUCAUCACUUUGUAGAGGAUUUUUUAAACUGCUAUGUUGUAGAUACAUACAGAUGGCUGUGUUAAACUUUGUAAUGUUUCACACCUUGCAAAUAUUUUUUGUUGGGAAAAUUUGGCAUUAGGAUUUGUGUAACGCCCUUUAAAUUG